GGAAAUCAGUAUGGCCACGACGUUUUAUCCUAGUGAUCACCAAGGUUAAUUUGGCUGAUCUGGAGGAACUUGAGGAUAUCAUUUUCCUCUGUCAUUACUCCUCACGAGUCCCUUCCACCCUCUGUGCUAAAUAGGAUGAUUUCAAAUGGACAAGGAUAUUGUAUUCAAGAAUAUGUAUGUAGUUUUCCUCUCCUUCUGAGCCCUCCAACAAGCCCUGAAGACCUGACAUGUAGUUGGCCCUCAUUAAAU
rnacentral:sRNA from 1 species